UAGGGAAUAUUAGAAAUGGACGAAAGUCUGAUCUAGCAACACCGCGUGUGCGAAGAAGGCCUUCGGGUCGUAAAGCACUUUUUGGAAGGAAUAGGAAGGAAUGUACUUCCAGAAUAAGUCUCGGCUAACUACGUGCCAGCAGCCGCGGUAACACGUAGGAGGCAAACGUUAUCCGGAUUUACUGGGCGUAAAGCGCGUGUAGGUGGUACUGCAAGUAGGGCGUGAAAGCUCCUGGCUCAACUGGGAGAGGCCGUUCUAAACUACAGAACUUGAGGAUGGUAGAGGGAGGGGGAAUUCCAGGUGUAGCGGUGGAGUGCGCAGAUAUCUGGAGGAACACCGGUGGCGAAGGCGGCCUCCUGGACCAUUCCUGACACUCAGACGCGAAAGCUAGGGUAGCAAACGG
rnacentral:rRNA from 1 species